rnacentral:tRNA from 1 species
UCGGGGAUCGUCUAAAGGCAGGACAGCAGCCUUUGAAGCUGCUUAUCUUGGUUCGAAUCCAAGUCCCCGAG